AGAGGACACAAAAGCAUGAAUAACAGGAGGAUGGAUAUAGAAUACCAGCAUCAGCAAGUGUACACGAUUUAAAGCACAUUUGGUAUCUAUUACCAAGCUGCCCUUCAGAGAGGUUGUCUCGUUACACAUUCCACAGCUGUGACUGAGAAACCGUCUUGUCGCAUUUGACAAUCCAGGUUACUAUCUAAAAACUUGAGUUUGUAAGAGCAACACGCCAUGAGAUAAUAUUCGUGCAAAUGUAACUGACAAAAGACUAACAUCCCAUAAUACUAGAGCACCUACAAACCAAGAAGAUAAACAUCCCAUUGGGAAAGUGUAAAAAUAUGAACAUAAAGUUUACAGAAGAAAAAACACAAAUGGCUCAUAAACACACAAAAAGAUGAUAUUGCUUCCUGGUAAUUGGGGAAAUGCAAACAAAAACUACAAUGAAAUAUCGUGGUAUCGUGUAUCAAAUUUGCAGAGCAUAAAAUAGAUUACAUUCGCAACCAGCAACUACAACCCAACCUUCAGCCUCACUGGACUUCUUGCCAUUCCCCAAACCAUAUCCACGCCCCUCUCCACAGGCUGUUCCUUCUGCCUGCAUGCCCUCGAUGGCACCAAGGGGGAUGGGCACACUAACACAACUGCUGGGAAUGGGAAAGUUUCAACCUCUUGGGAAUAAAAUCUAACAGUAUUUAUUGGAAUGUAACCUGUGCAUACUCCACAGCUGGGCCACUACCCUGCAAGAACCCCUCUGGCUGCUGCACAAAGCUCUUCUCUGCAUCCUUUUUUAUACUAGUGGAACCCUGGACACAGCCUGCAUAUGGAUCAAAAGGGCAGUGGUUAUAAAUAUACUAUGGUCCAUCUCUAGGCUAGACUGUGAUGCAGUGGUUAAAGCCAAGUAUUGCAGAAGAGUGAUUAAGCAUUCGUGCUCCAAAGCCAGAUAGCCUAGGUUUCAAUCCCAGCUUUGCCACUUACUUGCUGUGUGAUCUUGUGCAACUCACUUAGCCUUUCUGUGUCACAGUUUCUCCAUCUGUAUAACGGACGAUAACACUAGCCCCUACCUCAUAGGGUCAUUGUGAAGAGUAAAUGAAAUUAAUAUUGCCUAUGUCACAGAGUGAUCCUCCUCAAAAUCUAUUAGAUGAAAAAAGAAAUUUCUAGAAAUUAUCUACAUACAUAUUCUGAUGGGAUUUGUGUAAAGAAUUUAACCAACAAACCCAUAUUACACACACAUACACACACACUCACACAGACACACUCACACACACACACACGCACUCACGUGCGUAGAAGUAGAUCUAGGAAGAUCCAUGACACACAUGCGAGGCAGGUGAAUGGGGACAUUAAAAGGAGGACUUCCACGUUUAAUUCUGAAUGGUCUAUUUUAUUUGUGCAAUUUUUAAAAAUCAAAGCAAUAAAUCACUGUAAAAG
rnacentral:lncRNA from 1 species